rnacentral:lncRNA from 1 species
AUGCCUGCAAUCCCAGCACUCUGGGAGGCCAGGGCAGAUGGAUCACUUCAGCUCAGGAGUUCAAGACCAGCCUGAGCAACAUGGCAAAACCCUGUCUGUACAAAAAAAAAAAAAAAAUCCACAAAAAUUAGCCGGGCGUGGUGGUACAUGCCUGUAGUCCAGCUACUCAGGAGGCUGAGGAAGAAGGAUCACUUGAGCCCGGGAGCUUGAGGCUGCAGUGAGCUGAGAUCAUGUCACUCACUGCACAUUAUAGUCUCAGGCUGGGCGUGGUGGCUUACGCCUGUAAUCCCAGCACCAUGGGAGGCUGAGGCGGGCAGAUCUGGGCAGAUCACAAGGUCAGGAGUUCGAGACCAGGCUUACUCGGGAGGCUAAGGCAGGAGAAUUGCUUGAACCCAGGAGGCAGAGGUUGCAGUGAGCAGAGAUCGUGCCAUUGCACUCCAGCCUGGGUGACAGAAUCAGACUCCGUCUCAAAAAAAAAGAAAAGAAAAGAAAAGGUAACAAGGAACUAGAACUAGAAUGUUACAGUAAAGACAUAAAUGAUGUCUAAGUUGGUCUAACUUGUGAAAAGGGGAUAAGGUCAGUUUUCUCUUUCUCAAAGCUCCCAACAUUU